GACGAAGGAUGCAAGCGUUAUCCGGAUUCAUUGGGUUUAAAGGGAGCGUAGGUGGACUGAUAAGUCAGUGGUGAAAUCUUUGGGCUUAACCCAAAAAUUGCCAUUGAUACUGUCGGUCUUGAGUAUAGUUGCCGUUGGCGGAAUAUGACAUGUAGUGGUGAAAUACAUAGAGAUGUCAUAGAACACCGAUUGCGAAGGCAGCUGACGAAACUAUAACUGACACUGAGGCUCGAAAGUGUGGGGAUCAAACAGG
rnacentral:rRNA from 1 species